GCUUCGAUCUCCACCCGGAAGCCCUUCGUUCCUCUGUGCACCUGAUGGCUCCCUCCAGAAGCUCUGAGAACCCGCUACUUGGCACCUCCUCAGGGAUCUGCCAUGGCGUGGGGUUCUCUGCUCCCUCUAUCAGAGACCCACAGCCUGUGGACUGCGAUGGCCCAGCACUCCUGCUUGUGUCUCCCGCUUGGCUGGAAGCCAACCAAGAGCAGGGUGUGUGCUGGGGUGUCCAACCUGGGACCGGGCACAGGGCACACCCACACGUUGAAGGAGUGUGAAUACAUAGACAGAAUCUGGUUCUGGAUCAGCCUUGGAGGUGGGGAGAGGGGCUGGUGGGGUCUGGGCAGAUGAAAGGGAUGGAUAGAGCUUGACGGUGAUGUAGAAAAGCAGUGUGUGUUGGGGGUGAGGGGCUCCAGGGAAGACUGAGCGCCCAGGGAACCUCCAUGAUCCCUGUCCUGGCAGUCUCUAAGGUAUGAGGUCCUCCCUCCCAUGCAAACACCAGAAAUGGUUUGGGGCAGCCUGGCCGUGGGAUGCAGGAGGGAGCUUUGUCCCUUCUGAUGGUGCUGCCACCUGGCUUCCUGGCAGGAGCCAACAGAGCAAGUGGGGGAGCUGGCCUAGAAGCCAAGGGGGUCCCAGGAGCCCUGCAGGUACCUGAGCAGCUUUGGAAAGGAAGGCGCCAGAGGAACUGGGAGGGAGGAGCAUGUCUGGAGAUGACUCCUCCCAGCCUUGGAAGCUGGGGGCGUCUGGAACAGCAGGGUCCCUCAAGAGAGGAAGAUGCCAGGAUGGCACAGAAUUUAGGGCUCACUCCAGCCAGCUGCCCCCAGCCUCCUCCCCAGAAUGCAGGCCUUCGCGCCACAGGUAAUUCAUGGCCCAGACUCAGCCCAGGCUGAGAUGCUCCUGGCUUUAUGAUUCAGUUCAAUCCAGGAGUGCUAAUGGGGCAAUUUGUAAAGAAAGAAAUAUAAUGAGUUAUCACAAAGCCCAGCAAGGACUCGACAAACCAGGCACUUCCCAUCCAUCAAGCAUCCUAGCGUGGUCGGAGACCAGCAGCGCCAGAAAUCUUGUGAGGCCCCUGGGAACGUGCUUUUCCUGGGCCUGGACACACACAUGUGGCAGCUACUGCAGCUGCUUCCUUCUCCCUCUGCCCCCCACCCCCAAUCAUGGUCCCUAAGGGCCAGAUGACCUGGGGCGAUGGUGUGGGUGGGGUACAAUGGAGGUAAAAGGGGGAUACUUAAGAAUUUCUUUGCUGAAGCAAAAUUAUCAUGCAGGCCAUUUUUUUUUUUUUUUUAAAAAGAGCAUUAAUGCCAUGUGAAGGCCACAGAGUCCCAGAUGUUGCAGGCAGGCUGCGAUGUUUCCCCAGGGCUCUUGUUGCCAGCCCAUGCCAGGGUUGCUGAAACUGGGGCUUGGCCUGGCAUGAAGCCUAAGGUCAUGGAGAUGAUACUGGGCAGCCCCAUCCAUCCAGUAUGUCUCAUGAAGUCAAAGUUCACCCAGCCUGGGCCUAUGGGAUACCUUCUGCAGAGAGCAGGUGCCAUGCCGUGUCCACUCUGCUGAGACAGCAGGCCGCUCACUUGAGUCAGAGACCCACAGGCAGGCAAGUCCCUCCUGGGCUUCUUUCAGAUGUGCACAGUGGGGUCCAGAAUGGAGAAGUGAAUUGCCAGAGGACUUGCAUUAAGGAAGUGGCAGUUUGUCACAUUGUAUACAUUGAUAGUCUAGGACAGUGUGGCUGGGGCUGGGUGGGUAGCAAGGGGCAGUAGAAAGGGCGAGGCCUAGAGGGCACGUCUGGAGGCCCCAAGUCCAGAUACCUGGGCCUGGCACUGGCCCAACCUGCCUCAGCCUCCAUGCUGGGGUCCCUGGACUGGCACUUGCCCUUUCCUUUCCAGCCGCCACUGCCCUGUUCUAGCUCAGAUCUGGAGGAUGGAGAUUUUGGUCAGUCUGGGAAGGAGGGCUGGCCUGCAGAGAGGUCUCUCUGGGCUGAGGCAUCCAUGUGCUCUGUCCCUGGUACUCUCCAGCCUCUGCUGCCUUCCUAGCUGGCCUGGACCCUGGGGAUCUCCCCUACCAGGUACCUCAGGAGGCCCCUGGCCAGAGCCGCAGGUCAUGGAAAGGCCUCAUGGCCAGCAGAUGGAACAGAGAGAGGCCUGGUUUCAGUAGGGACUGCUUGAGCCCACACAGAGUGAUGUGAUCCAGAAUGGUCCUCAGCAUAGUCCAGGUGGUCCUGUCCUACCCACUCAGGUCCUGCCUUCUUUCCUCCUGUUUUUUGUAGGCAAUCUGGAGAGCUCUGAAGCCCAGAGAAAUCAACCUGCCACCUCAGAACAGGCAGGUCCCACAGAGAAGGACAGCCACCUCCCUCAGAAGAAGAGCAGAUAAUGAGCAAGCACAGCCAGUGCUUCCUGUGUGCCGAGUGUGGUUCUGAAUGCUGCACACUGACGAACUCACUCAUCCUCUUACCAGUACCAUGAUGAGAUUCUCUUGUUAUUAUUCCCAUUUUGCAGAUUAGAAAAUUGAGGCAUGGAGAGGCUGAAUAACUUGCUUAAGGUCACCCAGCUAGUGAAUGGCAGAAUACGAGUUCAAACCCAGCCAGACUGGCUCCGGAAUGUUCUGGUGGUCCAGCAGAUGUCCCGGACCUAGAGGCUACUGGUGCCCUGCAUCCAACCUUGGUACCACCUCCGACUCCCAAUAAGGUGAGGCUGACGGGCAGAUUCCUAGACAGAGGGAUUCUCCUGGAAGGGGCCAGUCCUGGAGAACCUGUUGAGUCUUGAGGGUAGACGCCCAAGUUUCCCAUGCUCUGUGAGAGAUGGGGGAAUGUGGGACAGGGAGAGGGCAGUGGACACAGGGCAUUGACUCAGGUUUGGGGAAGUCUCCAAAGAGCAUGGGGCUGACCCAGUAAACACCUGCCGUGUGCCAAGUACUAUGCCUAGCAUGAACUGAACUACAGUGGAGACUAAAAAAGGUUAAGUAACUGGCCCAAGGUCACACCGCUAAUAAGAAGUACAGCCAGCUUUCAAGUCAGCUCUAUCUGGUUUUACAUUUGGGUUCAUGACGCCAUGGUGCUAGAGAGGGGCAGGGUGGAAGGAGGGAUGGAGGAAGAGUGGGAAGGAAGGUGAGGACCCAGAGGACAUACCCCAGAGAGCAGAGCUGGGCACACUAGGAAGUCACACUGGGAACUGGAGGGCACUGGGUCAGUCUGGCUCACAGCCAGAUGGGGAUUCUUAAAAAAAAAAAAAAAAAAGCUGGGCGUGGUGGCUCAUGCCUAUAAUCCCAGCACUUUGGGAGGCCGAGGCGGGUGGAUCACGAGGUCAAGAGAUCGAGACCAUCCUGGUCAAAAUGGUGAAACCUUGUCUCUACUAAACAUACAAAAAAUUAGCCAAGCAUGGUGGCGCGCGCCUGUAGUCCCAGCUACUCGGGAGGCUGAGGCAGGAGAAUUGUUGGAACCCAGGAGGCGGAGGUUGCAGUGAGCCGAGAUCGCGCCAUUGCACUCCAGCCUGGGUAACAAGAGCGAAACUCUGUCUCAAAAAAAAAAAAAAAAGAAUGCAACUGUUAGCAGCUGCAGAUGGGGAUUCUUAAGAGAGGUAGAGAUACAACCUGUGGGAGGGUGGAGGCAGGGGGCUGCUGGGAUUGACCACCUCGCUUCUAGGUUGCCACUCCAAGCUUCCUCUGGGGCAAUGAGCCCUGUUGCUUCCCAGAGGAAAACUGCACCCCACAGACCAGGGGAGAGACCAAAGCUCCUGCCCUGCAUCCAUAUCUCCCAGGCUUCUAGCCCCCAGGGGCUGCAUCGGUGCUUCAGCGUUCUCUGCCAUCCCUUACUCGCCAUGUCCCUUGUGAUCCAAACUCUUAGGUCUCCGUGUCCCACAGGUCAUCACUUCCUGCCUCUCAAGUUCCCACAUCCUAUGGCCCAUCCUGGGAGCGGAAGGGUUACGGCUUCUGCUGCUGAGUGGAGGCUGCUGUUCCCCAGCGUUAAGCAGCUUUAGUGUCUCCUACCCCAGCCCUGAUUUAAAAUUCAUAAAUGCUAAUCCUUCAUAAUUUACGGUUUAAAAGCAGCCCCACUCACAGGCCCCGUGGCUACAGCUCUGUCAGAGUAAUUAUGCCGCCAAGCUGAAAUUGGACUACUAACUGAGAUAUUAAACGGGGGGGCGAAAUCCUCGCGCUGGCAGCCGACCCAAUUAUUCCAAAUAAGCAAACAGAUUAGUGAGUAAUUUUCCAGUUAAAUUUGGUGAUUGGUGCCAGAAUUGUAUGUUAAAUAUUCAGAAGUAAAUAGAUUAAAGAUGAAAUGUGCCCUCCUCCCUUUUUCCAGGCUUAAUUUACUGUGUAUAUUAAAACUUUUUCAUGAGGAGAAAAAAAGUGAAAAAUGAUAAUUAAAAAAUCCAAAUAAACCCCUCUGGGCCUCCUGGUAUAGCAAGGCAGGGGCCAGGCCCCCCGGCCUCCUUGACUUACUAGCCCUCCUGGGCAGGGCCAGCCACCUCCCCUGGACCCAAACUCUAGCCCUCCCCAGGGCAGAGGCAUGGAGGAUGGAGGAUUCCGGGCAUCUGGGUGGGCUGGAGACCUCCUGGCCCCUGUGCACUGGGCUUGUAUUCUUUACGAAGAGAAAUCCCAAAUCUAUUAGUCCUAAAGUCAGACAGAGCUGAGAAAAUCCAGGCAGGGGUUGGGGGAGAGGUGGUUCUUGAGUGGGCACUCGAGGCCCCCGGGGGUGCUGGGCUCCUCCCAGCACAGAGUACUGUCUGGUUCUCAGUGCCCAAGUGCCCAGGGCUAGGACCCAGGCCACCGGCAGCAGCAUGCCGUCCUGUCCUGGCUGUAGCUGCUGGUCUGCUGUCCUGGGGCGGGGGUGCUGAGCAGUGACUGUCC
rnacentral:lncRNA from 1 species